rnacentral:lncRNA from 1 species
ACAUAAGACAGCUUGUAGUUAUAUGCCAAGUACUGGAGAGAGACACAAGGGGAAAGGCUGAAGCAGGGAAGAUUGUGGGGGAGCAUCUACCUCAAGCUACACAAUAAGCCUGCUAAGAAAUUUUCUGUAUUAAUUAAUGUACAAAUAGCUUCAAGAAAAGUAUCACAGCUUGAAAGUUCAAUCUGAGAAAGUUAGAUCAUCUUCAAGACUCUUCCAAAGUCAAUCACCAAGACAGAUGUAAUGGUCAUCUUAAGCUUCCAGCCACCUGAUACACUAUGGGAAAACCAGUGUGAUCUUUGAAGAUAUGAGACACCAUCCCCCAAAAAUCUAAAACUUGACAAGCUUCAUUCAACAGUUUAAAAAGAAUCUCAACUAGAAAGCAGACUGAGUAUUCCAUCAUUUGAGUUGAGAGAGCAGGAAAAUACAACUAACAUUACCCCCUUACUGUAAGAACGAUCCUAUGACUGUGGUAACACUUUCAUCUUAAGUGUAUGAA